CGUAGAUGUGAGUCAAUUUAGCCAAGCUGUUAAUCCAUCCUGGCUGCACAUAUAUUAUGUUAAAAAAUAAAAAUAAAAGGUACCUAUGUAGACAGCAACAGAUCGUCAGUUUCAACAAUUUUAAAGGGCAACGUGCAACAGUUUCCAAACUUUUACGACCACGGAACCCUUGAGAAAUAGUUUCUGUUUCGUGGAACCUCCUCUUUUUACCUUAGGCUAUGAGAUUCAACAUGACUUUCACUAGUGAACUAUAUCUACUACAUCUAUAGGUAAAUACUUGAAACAACUUUUAGCAAUGUAUAGAAUCUGAAAAUGUUGUACAUUUUAUGGAUGUUAAUUACAUUUAAAAAUAAUAAACAUUAAUACCUAAGUGUGUAAUACAACAUUUUGAAGAAUUUAGAAGAACUAUAUGUCUAUAACUAUUAAUAUUUUAAUUUACAUUAAGAACAUUUAAGUUUAUUUGAACUACCUAAUUAUUUUAAAAUUAAUUGUUAAUUUAG